GGGAGAGGUCGGGCAGCCCUCGGGUGCCGUCGUGCACCUGAGGAAAGUCCCCCUCCGUCGGGGAGCGCGGCGCCGUGAGGCGCCAGCCGAGAGGCUGGGGGCAAAGCCAAAGAAACGGCACGUCCACCAGCUCAUGGCCAUGAUGGGCCCAAAACCUUGAGGACGCUGGUGGAAGCGUUGAAACGAGGCGACCCCCGCGUGGAACAAGGCGAACCGCGAUGAGGGCCCCGAUGAGCGGUAAGCCGCAUAGUCAAAUGUUGCCCAAACAGAAGGGGGAUUACGAACCUCACCC
rnacentral:RNase_P_RNA from 1 species